rnacentral:rRNA from 1 species
GUGGGGAAUAUUGGACAAUGGGCGAAAGCCUGAUCCAGCCAUGCCGCGUGUGUGAAGAAGGUCUUCGGAUUGUAAAGCACUUUAAGUUGGGAGGAAGGGCAUUAACCUAAUACGUUAGUGUUUUGACGUUACCGACAGAAUAAGCACCGGCUAACUUCGUGCCAGCAGCCGCGGUAAUACGAAGGGUGCAAGCGUUAAUCGGAAUUACUGGGCGUAAAGCGCGCGUAGGUGGUUCGUUAAGUUGGAAGUGAAAUCCACGGGCUCAACCUGGGAACUGCUUUCAAAACUGCUGCGCUAGAGUACGGUAGAGGGUGGUGGAAUUUCCUGUGUAGCGGUGAAAUGCGUAGAUAUAGGAAGGAACACCAGUGGCGAAGGCGACCACCUGGACUGAUACUGACACUGAGGUGCGAAAGCGUGGGGAGCAAACAGGAUUAGAUACCCGGGUAGUCC